UGGAAGAGAAUCACCAAGUCACCUGCUCCUCAGAUCAGAAGGUGAUUGUGGCUUUGGGUAAAUAUUGAGCAGCCACAGCACUGCCUGGUCAGAAAGAGCAAGUGUACUAGCCUUUUACUUCCU
rnacentral:pre_miRNA from 7 species